CCUACGGGAGGCAGCAGUGGGGAAUUGUUCGCAAUGGGCGCAAGCCUGACGACGCAACGCCGCGUGGAGGAUGAAGGUCUUCGGAUUGUAAACUCCUGUUGCCCGGGACGAACGGCUCCAACCUAAUACGUUGGAGUGUGACGGUACCGGGUGAGGAAGCCCCGGCUAACUCUGUGCCAGCAGCCGCGGUAAUACAGAGGGGGCAAGCGUUGUUCGGAAUUACUGGGCGUAAAGGGCGCGUAGGCGGCCUGCUAAGUCGAACGUGAAAUCCCUGGGCUCAACCCAGGAACUGCGUCCGAUACUGGUUGGCUUGAAUUCGGGAGAGGGAAGUGGAAUUUCCGGUGUAGCGGUGAAAUGCGUAGAUAUCGGAAGGAACACCAGUGGCGAAGGCGACUUCCUGGACCAUUACUGACACUGAGGCACGAAAGCGUGGGGAGCGA
rnacentral:rRNA from 1 species